AACGAACGCUGGCGGCAUGCCUAACACAUGCAAGUCGAACGAUGCCUUCGGGCAUAGUGGCGCACGGGUGCGUAACGCGUGGGAAUCUGCCUUUCGGUUCGGAAUAACUCAGGGAAACUUGAGCUAAUACCGGAUAACGUCGCAAGACCAAAGAUUUAUCACCGAAAGAUGAGCCCGCGUAGGAUUAGCUAGUUGGUGAGGUAAAGGCUCACCAAGGCGACGAUCCUUAGCUGGUCUGAGAGGAUGAUCAGCCACACUGGGACUGAGACACGGCCCAGACUCCUACGGGAGGCAGCAGUGGGGGAUAUUGGACAAUGGGCGAAAGCCUGAUCCAGCACUGCCGCGUGAGUGAUGAAGGCCUUAGGGUUGUAAAGCUCUUUUACCCGGGAAGAUAAUGACGGUACCGGGAGAAUAAGCCCCGGCUAACUCCGUG
rnacentral:rRNA from 1 species